GGGGACAUGGUUCAAGUGGUAGAGCACCUGCCUAGCAAGCAGGAGGUCCUAAGUUCAAACCCUAGUACCCCCA